rnacentral:RNase_P_RNA from 1 species
CCAGUUGGCCGGGCAGCCGCGCUUCACCAAUGCCGAAAGGCGGUGAGGGGAGGAAAGUCCGGGCUCCACGGAAACACGGUGCCGGAUAACGUCCGGCGAGGGCGACCUCAGGGAAAGUGCCACAGAAAGCAAACCGCCCGGUCCAUCGGAUUGGGUAAGGGUGAAAGGGUGGGGUAAGAGCCCACCGCGUCUCUGGCAACAGCGACGGCACGGUAAACCCCACCGGGAGCAAAACCGAAUAGGGAUGACGUGGUGCGCGCAAGCGCUCCAGCCCGUUUCCGGGCCGGUCAUCCGGGUGGGUUGCACGAGGCGGCGCGCAAGCGUCGUCCCAGAUGAAUGGCUGCCACGUUCCGGUUCGCACCGGAGCCAUACAGAACCCGGCUUACAGGCCAACUGGCGAA